GGUUAAUAUUCCCGUACUUGGUGUUACUGCGAAGGGGGGACGGAGAAGGCUAUGUUGGCCGGGCGACGGUUGUCCCGGUUUAAGCGUGUAGGUGUGUGUUCCAGGUAAAUCCGGUUCACUUUAACACUGAGGCGUGAUGACGAGGCACCACGGUGCUGAAGCAACAAAUGCCCUGCUUCCAGGAAAAGCCUCUAAGCCUCAGGUAACAUCAAAUCGUACCCCAAACCGACACAGGUGGUCAGGUAGAGAAUACCAAGGCGCUUGAGAGAACUCGGGUGAAGGAACUAGGCAAAAUGGUGCCGUAACUUCGGGAGAAGGCACGCUGACACGUAGGUGAAGUGGUUUACCCAUGGAGCUGAAGUCAGUCGAAGAUACCAGCUGGCUGCAACUGUUUAUUAAAAACACAGCACUGUGCAAACACGAAAGUGGACGUAUACGGUGUGACGCCUGCCCGGUGCCGGAAGGUUAAUUGAUGGGGUCAGCGCAAGCGAAGCUCCUGAUCGAAGCCCCGGUAAACGGCGGCCGUAACUAUAACGGUCCUAAGGUAGCGAAAUUCCUUGUCGGGUAAGUUCCGACCUGCACGAAUGGCGUAAUGAUGGCCAGGCUGUCUCCACCCGGGACUCAGUGAAAUUGAACUCGCUGUGAAGAUGCAGUGUACCCGCGGCAAGACGGAAAGACCCCGUGAACCUUUACUAUAGCUUGACACUGAACACUGGUCCUUGAUGUGCAGGAUAGGUGGGAGGCUUUGAAGUGUGGACGCCAGUCUGCAUGGAGCCAUCCUUGAAAUACCACCCUUUAAUGGCUGGUGUUCUAACGUGGGCCCGUGAACCGGGUUGCGGACAGUGUCUGGUGGGUAGUUUGACUGGGGCGGUCUCCUCCUAAAGAGUAACGGAGGAGCACGAAGGUUGGCUAAUCCUGGUCGGACAUCAGGAGGUUAGUGCAAUGGCAUAAGCCAGCUUGACUGCGAGCGUGACGGCGCGAGCAGGUGCGAAAGCAGGUCAUAGUGAUCCGGUGGUUCUGAAUGGAAGGGCCAUCGCUCAACGGAUAAAAGGUACUCCGGGGAUAACAGGCUGAUACCGCCCAAGAGUUCAUAUCGACGGCGGUGUUUGGCACCUCGAUGUCGGCUCAUCACAUCCUGGGGCUGAAGUAGGUCCCAAGGGUAUGGCUGUUCGCCAUUUAAAGUGGUACGCGAGCUGGGUUUAGAACGUCGUGAGACAGUUCGGUCCCUAUCUGCCGUGGGCGCUGGAAGAUUGAGGGGGGCUGCUCCUAGUACGAGAGGACCGGAGUGGACGCAUCACUGGUGUUCGGGUUGUCAUGCCAAUGGCACUGCCCGGUAGCUACAUGCGGAAGAGAUAAGUGCUGAAAGCAUCUAAGCACGAAACUUGCCCCGAGAUGAAUCUUCCCUGAGCCUUUAAGGCUCCUGAAGGAACGUUGAAGACGACGACGUUGAUAGGCCGGGUGUGUAAGCGCAGCGAUGCGUUGAGCUAACCGGUACUAAUGAACCGUGAGGCUUAACCUUACAAC
rnacentral:rRNA from 1 species